AACGCGAAGAACCUUACCUGGCCUUGACAUCCUGGGAAUCCCGUAGAGAUAUGGGAGUGCCGCAAGGAGCCCAGAGACAGGUGCUGCAUGGCUGUCGUCAGCUCGUGUCGUGAGAUGUUGGGUUAAGUCCCGCAACGAGCGCAACCCUUGUCCUUAGUUGCCAUCAUUAAGUUGGGAACUCUAAGGAGACUGCCGGUGAUAAACCGGAGGAAGGUGGGGAUGAGGUCAAGUCAUCAUGGCCUUUAUGGGUAGGGCUACACACGUGCUACAAUGGUCGGUACAAAGGGAAGCGAAGCUGUGAGGUGGAGCGAAACUCAAAAAACCGAUCUUAGUCCGGAUUGGAGUCUGCAACUCGACUCCAUGAAGCUGGAAUCGCUAGUAAUCGCGGAUCAGAACGCCGCGGUGAAUACGUUCCCGGGCCUUGUACACACCGACAUA
rnacentral:rRNA from 1 species